CCUCCCACUGAGGAGCAUAUUUGCUCUUCAGCUCGCUUUCAACUUGAGGUGCAGAGAGGAGGAAACCCACAGUGUGGUGGAGACAAAGCAGAGGAAAGUUACUAGCAUGUGGCAAUAUCUCGUGCUCUCAGCACUGCUCCUCUGGGUCCCAGGUAUGGGGUCAGCCUAUGUGGAGCAGCAGCCCUUUCUCACAGGGGCUCAGGAGAAUCCGAAAACCCUGCAGUGUACAUUGAAACAAACCAGCUGCAACUGGAUGUACUGGUAUAGGCGACGGGAAGGCAGGGAGCUGGAGGGACUCUUCAGCUCUCUAGCAAGUGGAUCUGGCACCAACUUCACAGCUGAGCCCAUGACAGCCCUGAGGAACAACACAAAAUGGGACCUAACAUGGAGAAGCCUUUCACUGUCAGACUCGGCUGUGUAUUACUGUGCGUGCAACAC